UUAAUAUCUUUGCAUUCAUUGUUUCUGCUGUUGUCUAUGUCAGAAGUGGGUAGGGGCUUUAGUCAGGUGAUCUUUCAGUCAGUUGGACAGUUGUUUCUCCAAGCACUCUUAAAGUCCUGAGAUUUUUCAGUUCUCAGAACUUGGAACAAAUCACUUUCUUAGUUCCAGGGCACAUGUUUUCCUAUUACAGAACUAGAAAUCUUUUUUUUUUUUUUUUUUUGGUAACCUGUAUAUUUUGACAAUUACUUUUUUUUAUUUAAAAAAAUGUUUUUUGGGGGAGGUAAUUAGGUUUAUUUAUUUAUUAUAAUAGAGGUACUGGGGAUUGAACCCAGGACCUUGUGCAUGCUAAGCACACUUUCUACCGAGCUGUAACCUUCCCCCCAGAACUAGAAAUCUUAUGAAUAAAUAGGUUCUGUAUUUCCAUUCUGUUUUGGUAAUGGAGUCAAGUGUAGUGUAAUGUUUGCUUGAAGACUCACUUCAUAAGUGCCCAAGGCCAAACUAGGUCAGAAAUCUGGAGUAUUAUGUUCCAGUAGUAUAAGAAGUAUCUUUGUCAUUGUUUAAAAGGAUUAGUGCUAUAUCAUUGCCGCAAGUUGCUUCUAAGCUGCAGGGAUACAAGAGGGAAUUGUUUCAGAACUGGAGAAGAAACACCCCCAGCACCUGCAUAAGACUCCACUUCAAAGGCUAAGCCAGAUCAGCUUGGUGGGGAGAGGACAGCACAGGUUCCCUGGAAAGUCUACAUCCAGCCACUAGAGGGCGAAGCACACGGAGAAAAACCCACAUGAGCUCCAGUCCAACCAGCCUUCACUAGUCCUCACUCAGAUGCGUGGUUUUGAAAUUGUUUAACCUGUUGGCAUCUUCGGAAAUGCUGGGCUGGAUCUUCCCUAGCAAGGCCUUCUAGCUGCCACUUUUUUUUCCUUCACCCAUUUCUCUUUGGCCAGACUGUGAGGAAGCAGUAAAUGUUCUUCAAACUCUGUAACUGAUCCAGACGAAGAAUGGAUUGGUGUCUGUAAGCAAGUCAACAGCCAGUAGCUUUUCGCAGUUUUUUAGUGGGCAAAUUUGUUCACUUUGCUUUAUUUCUCUUUAUGCUUACAUUCAAAAAACACACACAAAUAAAACGGCUUGUUGAAAAAUAUGAA